GAAGUCUGAGCUGCCGUAGGAGGCUUGCGGUCCCCAGGAGAAGAGGACACCGAGAUCCAGGGGCAGCCGUGGCAUUUGGGACUUCUACAAGCUCCCCAGGUGAUCCAUCAUGUAGCAAAAUUUGAGAACCACUCAUUUUGACCAUGAACCUGUGGGCCUGGCUACAUUCACGAGUCAUCCUUUCUCCCUCCCUAGUUUUUACCAAAGAAUAAAAAUCCAUCAGCCCCAAGGACUUUCUAGUACCUACUCUGUCUGUGUCAGCACAUACAUUCACACAAGGCCACCUAAGAAGAUAAUUGGGCUGCCUUCCGUCCAACACAGUAAUAACAUGUAAUGACCG